rnacentral:rRNA from 1 species
ACGCUGGCGGCAGGCCUAACACAUGCAAGUCGAGCGGUAGGAGAGAAGCUUGCUUCUCUUGAGAGCGGCGGACGGGUGAGUAAUGCCUAGGAAUCUGCCUGGUAGUGGGGGAUAACGUUCGGAAACGGACGCUAAUACCGCAUACGUCCUACGGGAGAAAGCAGGGGACCUUCGGGCCUUGCGCUAUCAGAUGAGCCUAGGUCGGAUUAGCUAGUUGGUGAGGUAAUGGCUCACCAAGGCGACGAUCCGUAACUGGUCUGAGAGGACGAUCAGUCACACUGGAACUGAGACACGGUCCAGACUCCUACGGGAGGCAGCAGUGGGGAAUAUUGGACAAUGGGCGAAAGCCUGAUCCAGCCAUGCCGCGUGUGUGAAGAAGGUCUUCGGAUUGUAAAGCACUUUAAGUUGGGAGGAAGGGUUGUAGAUUAAUACUCUGCAAUUUUGACGUUACCGACAGAAUAAGCACCGGCUAACUCUGUGCCAGCAGCCGCGGUAAUACAGAGGGUGCAAGCGUUAAUCGGAAUUACUGGGCGUAAAGCGCGCGUAGGUGGUUUGUUAAGUUGGAUGUGAAAUCCCCGGGCUCAACCUGGGAACUGCAUUCAAAACUGACUGACUAGAGUAUGGUAGAGGGUGGUGGAAUUUCCUGUGUAGCGGUGAAAUGCGUAGAUAUAGGAAGGAACACCAGUGGCGAAGGCGACCACCUGGACUAAUACUGACACUGAGGUGCGAAAGCGUGGGGAGCAAACAGGAUUAGAUACCCUGGUAGUCCACGCCGUAAACGAUGUCAACUAGCCGUUGGAAGCCUUGAGCUUUUAGUGGCGCAGCUAACGCAUUAAGUUGACCGCCUGGGGAGUACGGCCGCAAGGUUAAACUCAAAUGAAUUGACGG